GAUGACUUCACAGCAAGGUCAUGGAGGAGCAGAUGGGCUUUGAAGGAGGGAGGGAGGCAGACCCCUUGUUUAAACACAAAUAGCGGUGAUAAUUAAUUAACCAAAGUAGCAGGGGAAAUUAUGAAAAACACGUGAAAGGUUGCUGGAAUUGAGGUGGGCGUUGAGGACUCCAAUGAAUACAGAUAAGCUCAAAUCCAAGCAAACUCCAUCUUGUCUAAUCUUCACUGAGCAGUAAUCUGGGAGGCACCUUGCUUGCUCUCAUUUCGUAUGGAAGGAGAGCAAGCACACCACAGUACCAAUAUUACUGAAGACUGGAUUGAUCUCACCUGUUCACAUCCCGAGGUCUCCUGAUCCUUCGCUACCUCAAUAGCUAUAAUCUGUCCCAGGAAGUAUCAUUCACAAUGAGACAACUCCACCCACCUAUUACUGGAGCAGCAGAGGCAGAAUUUAUUUCUAUCUCAUUGAGUCCACAAACAAAUGCUCAAAAUGAACACAAACCCAACCUUCCGUGUUGGGAAUUUUGCUGGAAGUUUCUCCACAUUUCAGAUGUAGAGGCUGAGUUUGAACGAAUGGUUUAAGCUUGCUUAUUAAAAUAUGGAAAUUUAUAGCCUCUUUUUAAAACACGUGAAAUGGAAGUAAUGAAGUUGAUAGGAAUUUGCAAUUUUAUUUCAAUAUACUCAGGUAUUGAUGCCCUGUGCAAACUUUGUAUGUUCUCUCUCAUGAACGACAGAGCACAGCUCUAGGAACAAGAAAUCCCUGUAAAAAGGACGUUGGUGCAGGGGUAAAACCUGUGAGGAAAAGAAGAAUCAACAAAUGAACUCUCCCCGUGGUCCAGAAGCAUACAAAUAAAGUGACAAUUGCCAAAAGACAGGAUAUGCUAAGACCUCACAAAUUAUAUUAACAGUAGUAGAAGAAGGACUCCUUGGUUGCAUUAAUAAAAGGACAGCAAAGAAAAACUAAGCAGGAGUGCUAUGCAGUCAGCAUGGCGUAAAGGAAGAUCUGCGUGUAUGCCAAAAAAAAAAUAAAUGAAGACUUGGCUAAA